UAAGCGGAAAAAGCGGAGCCGUAGCGAAAGCGAGUCUGAAUAGGGCGCAUAAGUAACAGGUCGUAGACCCGAAACCAGGUGAUCUACCCAUGUCCAGGAUGAAGGUAAGGUAAUACUUACUGGAGGUCCGAACCCACGCACGUUGAAAAGUGCGGGGAUGAGGUGUGGGUAGCGGAGAAAUUCCAAUCGAACUUGGAGAUAGCUGGUUCUCUCCGAAAUAGCUUUAGGGCUAGCCUCGAGGUAAAGAGUCAUGGAGGUAGAGCACUGUUUGGACUAGGGGCCCUUCUCGGGUUACCGAAUUCAGAUAAACUCCGAAUGCCAUGUACUUAUACUCGGGAGUCAGACUGCGAGUGAUAAGAUCCGUAGUCGAAAGGGAAACAGCCCAGACCACCAGUUAAGGUCCCCAAAUAUAUGUUAAGUGGAAAAGGAUGUGGGGUUGCUUAGACAACCAGGAUGUUGGCUUAGAAGCAGCCACCAUUGAAAGAGUGCGUAAUAGCUCACUGGUCGAGUGACCCCGCGCCGAAAAUGUACCGGGGCUAAACAUAUUACCGAAACUGUGGAUGAACCUCUUUAGAGGUUCGUGGUAGGAGAGCGUUCUAAGGGCGGUGAAGUCAGACCGGAAGGACUGGUGGAGCGCUUAGAAGUGAGAAUGCCGGUAUGAGUAGCGAAAGAAGGGUGAGAAUCCCUUCCACCGAAUAUCUAAGGUUUCCUGAGGAAGGCUCGUCCGCUCAGGGUUAGUCGGGACCUAAGCCGAGGCCGAUAGGCGUAGGCGAUGGACAACAGGUAGAGAUUCCUGUACCAGUGCUAAUUGUUUAACCGAUGGGGUGACACAGAAGGAUAGGGAAUCGCACGAAUGGAAAUGUGCGUCCAAGCAGUGAGUGUGAGAAGUAGGCAAAUCCGCUUCUCGCGAAGCAUGAGCUGUGAUGGGGAAGGAAAUUAAGUACGGAAGUUCCUGAUUUCACGCUGUCAAGAAAAGCCUCUAGGAAGAGUAGUACUGCCCGUACCGCAAACCGACACAGGUAGAUGAGGAGAGAAUCCUAAGGUGAGCGAGAGAACUCUCGUUAAGGAACUCGGCAAAAUGACCCCGUAACUUCGGGAGAAGGGGUGCUCUAUUAGGGUGCAAGCCCGAGAGAGCCGCAGUGAAUAGGCCCAGGCGACUGUUUAGCAAAAACACAGGUCUCUGCAAAACCGUAAGGUGACGUAUAGGGGCUGACGCCUGCCCGGUGCUGGAAGGUUAAGAGGAGUGCUUAGCUUCGGCGAAGGUACGAAUUGAAGCCCCAGUAAACGGCGGCCGUAACUAUAACGGUCCUAAGGUAGCGAAAUUCCUUGUCGGGUAAGUUCCGACCCGCACGAAAGGCGCAACGAUCUGGGCACUGUCUCAACGAGAGACUCGGUGAAAUUAUAGUACCUGUGAAGAUGCAGGUUACCCGCGACAGGACGGAAAGACCCCGUGGAGCUUUACUGCAACCUGAUAUGGAAUGUUUGUACCGCUUGUACAGGAUAGGUAGGAGCCGAAGAGACGUGUGCGCUAGCAUACGAGGAGGCAAUGGUGGGAUACUACCCUGGCUGUAUGACCAUUCUAACCCGCCACGCUUAGCGCGUGGGGAGACAGUGUCAGGUGGGCAGUUUGACUGGGGCGGUCGCCUCCUAAAGAGUAACGGAGGCGCCCAAAGGUUCCCUCAGAAUGGAUGGAAAUCAUUCGCAGAGUGUAAAGGCACAAGGGAGCUUGACUGCGAGACUGACAAGUCGAGCAGGGACGAAAGUCGGGCUUAGUGAUCCGGUGGUUCCGCAUGGAAGGGCCAUCGCUCAACGGAUAAAAGCUACCCCGGGGAUAACAGGCUUAUCUCCCCCAAGAGUCCACAUCGACGGGGAGGUUUGGCACCUCGAUGUCGGCUCGUCGCAUCCUGGGGCUGUAGUCGGUCCCAAGGGUUGGGCUGUUCGCCCAUUAAAGCGGCACGCGAGCUGGGUUCAGAACGUCGUGAGACAGUUCGGUCCCUAUCCGUCGCGGGCGCAGGAAAUUUGAGAGGAGCUGUCCUUAGUACGAGAGGACCGGGAUGGACACACCGCUGGUGUACCAGUUGUUCCGCCAGGAGCAUCGCUGGGUAGCUAUGUGUGGCAGGGAUAAACGCUGAAAGCAUCUAAGCGUGAAGCCCCCCUCAAGAUGAGAUUUCCCAUUUCUUCGGAAAGUAAGAUCCCUGAAAGAUGAUCAGGUAGAUAGG
rnacentral:rRNA from 1 species